rnacentral:rRNA from 1 species
UACGUAGGGCGCAAGCGUUGUCCGGAAUUACUGGGCGUAAAGAGCUCGUAGGUGGUUUGUCGCGUUGUUCGUGAAAACCGGGGGCUUAACCCUCGGCGUGCGGGCGGUACGGGCAGACUGGAGUACUGCAGGGGAGACUGGAAUUCCUGGUGUAGCGGUGGAAUGCGCAGAUAUCAGGAGGAACACCGGUGGCGAAGGCGGGUCUCUGGGCAGUAACUGACGCUGAGGAGCGAAAGCGUGGGGAGCGAACAGG